rnacentral:pre_miRNA from 7 species
GCUCCUCCUGCCCAACAAUAUCCUGGUGCUGAGUGAGUUGCAGAUGGAGACUCCAGCAUCAGUGAUUUUGUUGAGGAGGGGG